rnacentral:misc_RNA from 1 species
GGCGGCGUAGCGCGUGUGGCGCUUGCCUUGCAGCAGCCACAUCCAGGGGACGACGAAGAGGUAGUGUGUGAAGGAGUGGCAGAGCUGGUGCCACCAGUCCUUGCGGAUGAUCUUGGUCUCGUCGAUCUGGUCGAUAGACCACAGGUGGCCGUCGCGCUCCUUGUUGAGGAAGAUGGUCUGGAAGACGUGGUUGUCGAAGGGCACGGAGGGCGGGAAUUGGG